GUGGGUGCAGUUCGCAAAGACGGUAAAUAAAAUCACGAGCAUCAAUAUAUAUAAAUGAAAAAUAAGAUGAGACACAAAACAGAUUCAAGAUGGGUUACAAAAUUGCAUCAUUUCCUUCCUAACUGCCCAUUAUUGUUGCCGACAGAUAUUACGUCAUACACAUGUCCAACGUUUAAUUACCGUGGUAAAGGAUCGCCAAAUGGCAUCAAAUUACGAAGCAUCCUCGUGGGACGUUUGCACAUCCGAUAUCUUCCGUAGUUGUGGCUGAUUAACCAAGUGUAAAGUUUCGCGCCAUGAACAUCGCCAUCAUAAGAUUAUGUGCUCGAUCUUCCUGCUGAUAGAUUAAACUCGACGUGCCUGUGGGUCAACAUAGCCAAUAUAAUCUCCUUUCGACUAUAAUAACUCGAUGGCGUUCAUAAUAAAACGAAGUCUGUCGGAUCAUCACGUGAAUAGUGCAUUGGCAGCUUGACGAGAGUAUAAUGGCACCUCCGUCGCAGAACUGACA